UCUCUCUCUCCUCCUUCUCUCUCCUUCCUCUCUCCCUUCCGUUGGCUUCUCCUCCAUCUUCUUUGUGCGAAAGACCAGAAAAAAUUGCAAAGGAAGAAGCCGAGGCAGCCCCUCGCCGUCCGCCUCCUUCGCCGCUCGUCGCCCGUCGCCGGAACCGCCGAAGCCGCCGAAGCUAGCUCGUCGCCGGUUCUCCUUCACCCGCUCACGCCGCUGCUCUUCCCUCGUUCGUCGUCGUCCUCGCUUGUCUUCACGUUUGGGAGGCUGUCCGACCAGCUUAGGUCACAGAUCAGCCACCGUGAGCCGCCGUGCGCCCCCGCCUUAGCCCGCCGGAGCUUCACCUUGCCUCCGCCGCCUUUGGCUGCCCGAACCGGCGCCGGAUCUGCUCCCUCUCGGCCCCGAUCAGCAACCCAGAAAAUGGGUAUGGCAGCCCAUGUUUGGCUCGUUUUGGCCGCCUUCCCAAGCCCGGAUGCUCGGCCCGCUUUGAGGAAAGUCAAUCCUCGCGUCGUGCUCGUCAUUUUGGUCCGCUCGGCUCGCUAAUCCAGUCCCUGGUGGACGGAGCGGCCGGAUAGCUUUGGUUGGCCUUGAGGAGUUGGAGAUGUGAAGUCAUAAAGAUUGGAGAUCGUGUACGACUUGUAGGUCGUAGGAUAACCUCUUUUUAAGAGCCAGUCUUUUGUAGACUAUUGGCCGUAAACCCCUGUUUGUAAUUCUAUUGAAUUAUGUUUAAGUGUUAUGUUGUGGUUUUGCUUC